rnacentral:rRNA from 1 species
GAUGAACGCUGGCGGCGUGCUUAACACAUGCAAGUCGAACGGUGAAAGCGGAGCUUGCUCUGCUGGAUCAGUGGCGAACGGGUGAGUAACACGUGAGCAAUCUGCCCUUGACUCUGGGAUAAGCGUUGGAAACGACGUCUAAUACCGGAUACGAGCUGCGAAGGCAUCUUCAGCAGCUGGAAAGAACUUCGGUCAAGGAUGAGCUCGCGGCCUAUCAGCUAGUUGGUGAGGUAACGGCUCACCAAGGCGUCGACGGGUAGCCGGCCUGAGAGGGUGACCGGCCACACUGGGACUGAGACACGGCCCAGGCUCCUACGGGAGGCGGCAGUGGGGAAUAUUGCACAAUGGGCGCAAGCCUGAUGCAGCAACGCCGCGUGAGGGACGACGGCCUUCGGGUUGUAAACCUCUUUUAGCAAGGAAGAAGCGAAAGUGACGGUACCUGCAGAAAAAGCACCGGCUAACUACGUGCCAGCCGCCGCGGUAACAC